rnacentral:rRNA from 1 species
GCCGUCGUUCAUACUGCGUCUAAUGCACCGGAUCCCAUCUGAACUCCGAAGUUAAGCGGCGCAAGGCCCGGUUAGUACUGGGGUGGGGGACUCCCCGGGAAUCCCUUUGGGUGAUGACGGCCUUU